AGUGCUGUGUACUGUAAAUAAAGGUGACUUGACUUAUUUAAUUUCAUCUUAAUAACACAGUCUCCGGUGGGGCAUGCAGCUGUCGUGGGGUCCUCGUGUUAUCAGCAGCAGAGUUGUAACCAAGCAUUUUUGUUACCUGGGGUCUUCAGAUACAGGAUCCGUCUGGCUAUGUGGAGAAAAGGAGAGAAGUGGUACUGAGAUGCCUGAUUGAGUACAUGUGGGAGGGAAAGGAAGACCUCAUCAGUGUCCACCAUGUAUGUACUGGGCUUAAAGCUACUUAUCUCAUUUCUGUCUGUAUGUUAUUACUAUUGUGAUGAUAUGGGGUAAUUACUUUGUUCUUGAAAUAUAUUUAAUACAGUAAUGUGAUGACCAAUAAGGUACAGGCAAGGAAAAUUGCAUUGUUUUAUUGUAAUGUAUCCUUUGAACCAGAAAAGACAACACUCAUGCUACAGUAUAUCAUGAUAGUAUAGUACCAACACUCUAUGACAUUGUCAUGGUUGACUUCACUCUGGUCACAUGCUCUAGUCAAAGUGUCCAUCUAGUAUCCAUCACCUUAAGCAACUAAAAAGUACAACUUUGACUUUGUGUCGUAUCUGUCUUCUACCAGUCUGCUAUAUUCAUCUCAAUACCUGUUUGUCUGACCAAACUCUUGAUUCUUUUUUGUCUCCCCA